GCAACUCAGACAAAAACAGUAUGCAGAGAAACUCGCACUCUGCCUGCCAGUAGAAACUGACUACAGUGGAGAACAGAGCCAUGGGGGCUUCGGGCAGCACCGAAGAUGGGAAGGUCCUGGAAGGCCUUCAUAGGAGUGGAGCAGAGCUGGAAGCCAGGCUGCCAGGCCAGAAGCCAACUGCUGCAGUCCUGCUUGGAUAAGGAAGCUGGCGUUUGGGCUAGAGUGGCUGUGGAGGUGACUGUGAGAAAGUGGGUUUGAGCUGCACUGUCCUCAAUCUUCAUGCGGGUUCCGGGGCCUCUGUAGACAUCAAAGUCCUCAGAUGCCCAAGUCAUUAAAGGAUUCUGG
rnacentral:lncRNA from 1 species